UGAGUAACACGUGGAUAUCUGCCUUUUGGUUCGGGAUAACCCUGGGAAACUAGGGCUAAUACCGAAUGGUUCCUACGGGAUAAAGAUUUAUCGCCAAAAGAUGAGUCCGCGUCCGAUUAGCUAGUUGGUGAGGUAAUGGCUCACCAAGGCGACGAUCGGUAGCUGGUCUGAGAGGACGAUCAGCCACACUGGGACUGAGACACGGCCCAGACUCCUACGGGAGGCAGCAGUGGGGAAUAUUGGACAAUGGGGGCAACCCUGAUCCAGCCAUGCCGCGUGAGUGAUGAAGGCCUUCGGGUUGUAAAGCUCUUUUGGCGGGGACGAUGAUGACGGUACCCGCAGAAUAAGCCCCGGCUAACUUCGUGCCAGCAGCCGCGGUAAGACGAAGGGGGCUAGCGUUGUUCGGAAUUACUGGGCGUAAAGCGCGUGUAGGCGGUUGUUCAAGUCAGGUGUGAAAGCCUUGAGCUCAACUCAAGAAAUGCACUUGAUACUGGAUGACUAGAGGACCGGAGAGGAUAGUGGAAUUCCCAGUGUAGUGGUGAAAUACGUAGAGAUUGGGAAGAACACCAGUGGCGAAGGCGGCUAUCUGGACGGUACUGACG
rnacentral:rRNA from 1 species